AAAGUCGUAACAAGGUUUCCGUAGGUGAACCUGCGGAAGGAUCAUUACCGUGAAGCGGCCGGGUACGCCCGAGCCCGCUCCCCAAACCGUGUCUACCAGCCCGUUGCUUCGGCGGGACGCCGGGCUCUGUCUCGGCGGCCGCGGCCCGUCCGAGUGCCCCCAGAAUCAGUGUCACCCGCAGUCAGAUGAGAGCGAGAAACGAACAAAACUUUCAACAACGGAUCUCUUGGUUCCG
rnacentral:misc_RNA from 1 species